rnacentral:misc_RNA from 1 species
GAUGAAGAACGCAGCGAAAUGCGAUAAGUAGUGUGAAUUGCAGAAUUCAGUGAAUCAUCGAAUCUUUGAACGCACAUUGCGCCCCUUGGUAUCCCGAGGGGCAUGCCUGUUCGAGCGUCAUUUCACCACUCAAGCCUGGCUUGGUGUUGGGCGACGUCCUCUUUGGGGACGCGCCUCGAAACGCUCGGCGGCGUGGUACCGGCUUUAAGCGUAGCAGAAUCUUUCGCUUUGGAAGUCGGGGCCCCGUCUGCCGGAAGACCUGCUCGCAAGGUUGACCUCGGAUCAGGCAGGGAUACCCGCUGAACUUAAGCAUAUCAAUAAGCGGAGGA